ACUCCUACGGGAGGCAGCAGUAGGGAAUCUUCCACAAUGGACGAAAGUCUGAUGGAGCAACGCCGCGUGAACGAUGAAGGCCUUCGGGUCGUAAAGUUCUGUUGUAAGGGAAGAACAAGUGCCGCAGGCAAUGGCGGCACCUUGACGGUACCUUGCGAGAAAGCCACGGCUAACUACGUGCCAGCAGCCGCGGUAAUACGUAGGUGGCAAGCGUUGUCCGGAAUUAUUGGGCGUAAAGCGCGCGCAGGCGGCCUCUUAAGUCUGAUGUGAAAGCCCCGGCUCAACCGGGGGAGGGCCAUUGGAAACUGGGAGGCUUGAGUAUAGGAGAGAAGAGUGGAAUUCCACGUGUAGCGGUGAAAUGCGUAGAGAUGUGGAGGAACACCAGUGGCGAAGGCGACUCUUUGGCCUAUAACUGACGCUGAGGCGCGAAAGCGUGGGGAGCAAACAGGAUUAGAUACCCUGGUAGGAUAGCG
rnacentral:rRNA from 1 species